AUCUCUCUCGCCUCACCGCUACUACAGCGGUACAGCCUCGCGUCGCGAACCACGCGGGCGUCGCCCUCGCGGGGCUGACCGCCGACGGCCGCGUCAACCCACGGUUUCAUCUACAAACGCCUCAGAUGGCCUCUAGUGGCGGCGGCGGGCCGUCUUUGCCGCGACUGCCGGCCUCUCUGUCGCCAGAUCGGGUUGCACACGGCCUCCCUGCCACCGGAUUCAUCCGCUCCGGCGUCGCUGCCGGCUCCGUGACCUGCUGAGUUCACCGAGUCCACUUGGUGUCUGACGGUGUUCCGCCACGGGCUUCCUCGUCCGUCGUGGCUCCGCGUCGUGGCGCUCACCACGGUCUCCCUUCGUGAGGUCAGGCGGCCACGUUCUUGGCGCAUAUACAUGAGAUCCACAGCCCAGGCGACCUCCACUGCCGAGGAUUGUUGUGCUGGUCCUCUCCAAUUACUUUAUUUUGUCAAAAUGGUCUUGUGCUUCAAACAGCUAUUAGAAACCUUCUAGAUGUCAUUGAUGCAUGCGCACAUCAGUAGCUUUAGAAGGACUAUGGACUGCGAAAUUAGGAACUAUUUUGUUCAUUGAUUUUGUGAUUGGACCAUAACUUAAUGGAGAGCAGCUAACAGCAAACACUUCUACUCUGCUUUCGUAUCAUAAGAACUCUAGUAAUAACUUGCAGUCUUGCACCAUAUUAGUCUGAUAUGAAUGAGCUAUUCAAAGGUUCUCAAAUGCCUGCUAUGUGUUCUGCAUGGUCUGUACAUAGUUCUGCUUGUACAAGAAUCAAUUGUCCUGAUAUUUUCUGUUUUAAUCCUUUGUCAUACAGCAAUUUCUAUCAACUCAGUUGUAUAGAGGAGAUUUAUGAGAUUGCUAACCAUUGCUAUGUUAUGAUGACAGCUUGUUUGUUUAGCAAUGUUCAUCGAAGUAACUGAUGCAAAUGAUAGCUUUGAUCCCAACUAGGUAUGUUUAUGCAUGUUUACGAAACAUGCUUGGAUUUACUCUGUUUUUCACCGUCAAUAGUCCUAAUUGGGUUUAUACAAGUUGCUGGCCUUUAUUUUGCUUUGACACAGUUGACCCACAGUAACAACAGAAUCAUAAGUUCGUACAUAGUUGUACUUGUUCACUUUCUGACAUAAUGCUUUUAGCUCAGGCUAUAAUACUUCAUCCGUGGUUGCAUGUGUUCUUUUAUCUUUUUUUUCAUCUCCAUUGUGUUUGUUCACCUGCCUUAACCUAUUUUAAUUGCUAGUUUUCGUUCGAUAACUUGUACUGGUCAGCUUUUUUUUUAUGCAAAAUGAAUUUCUGAUGCUGAUCUCUGUAUCAGUUGCUGCUAUUCUUUUAGCUGUACAGGCUACCGAAACAUACUUUUUUGGGCUACUGACAGUGUUUCUCAUGAAAUUGAAUGUCUUCAGUUCUGUUUAAUGCUUAAAUUGGGUUGGAUCUCCUUAAGUUUCUAACUCUGUAUAAAUCAGGAGAGGAUGUGCUACUGUUGACCUAUUACCAGCUGCAAUCUAACUUUAUCAUGAUUAUUGUUAAGCUCCAAUCUGCUGCACUACUAUUCAGUUCUCAUCCCAGUUUUGAUUACCCUGAAUCAUAUAUUCUUUUCUAUGCUUACAGUCCCAGUUCUCAUGGCCAACUCUAUAUGUUGUUCGUAUGCAGGAGAGGAAGUGUAGUGCAUCCUUAUUGGAGUUCUGGUCAACCAUCUGUGUCGAGUUUGGCACCCUCAGCAUCCAUGUUGACGACAAGGUCUUCGAGGCCCAGAUCUGUGACACUGUUGGACAUGAAAGGAUUUGUGGAAUUUUUUGCCUCGUCAGACAAAGCAUAAAAGUGCCUUUGCGCCUCCCUCGACCUCUACAACCAGUUGAUCGCGUGAGUUCCCUGUCACUUUCCCUUGAUGUGCACUAAUGCUGGGAUCUGCAGCGAAGUGACUCUAGGAACAUAAGGAAGCUACAGGAACUACAGGCUGAAGAAUUUCACUCGAAGUGUGAAGCCUUUGCAAAUAUCAGCUGUUGUAUUGUGAUACCUUAGGGUUACACUAUUUUUGAUGUUUACCUCUUUUCCCACAGUAAUAUUGUAAUACAUUUAGCUAUUAUGUGAGAAGUGAUAUUCCCUUCAGUUGA